GGGGAAUAUUGGGCAAUGGGGGGAACCCUGACCCAGCAACGCCGCGUGGAGGAAGAAGGUUUUCGGAUCGUAAACUCCUGUCCUUGGAGACGAGUAGAAGACGGUAUCCAAGGAGGAAGCCCCGGCUAACUACGUGCCAGCAGCCGCGGUAAUACGUAGGGGGCAAGCGUUGUCCGGAAUAAUUGGGCGUAAAGGGCGCGUAGGCGGCUCGGUAAGUCUGGAGUGAAAGUCCUGCUUUUAAGGUGGGAAUUGCUUUGGAUACUGUCGGGCUUGAGUGCAGGAGAGGUUAGUGGAAUUCCCAGUGUAGCGGUGAAAUGCGUAGAGAUUGGGAGGAACACCAGUGGCGAAGGCGACUAACUGGACUGUAACUGACGCUGAGGCGCGAAAGUGUGGGGAGCAAACAGGAUUAGAUACCCUGGUAGUCCACACUGUAAACGAUGAAUGCUAGGUGUAGGGGGUAUCGACUCCUUCUGUGCCGCAGUCAACACAAUAAGCAUUCCGCCUGGGGAGUACGGCCGCAAGGUUGAAACUCAAAGGAAUUGACGGGGGCCCGCACAAGCAGCGGAGCAUGUGGUUUAAUUCGACGCAACGCGAAGAACCUUACCAGGUCUUGACAUCCACUUAAACUUACAGAGAUGUAAGGUGUGCUUGCACAAAGUGAGACAGGUGGUGCAUGGUUGUCGUCAGCUCGUGUCGUGAGAUGUUGGGUUAAGUCCCGCAACGAGCGCAACCCUUAUCUUCAGUUACUAACGCGUGAAGGUGAGGACUCUGAAGAGACUGCCGGGGACAACUCGGAGGAAGGUGGGGACGACGUCAAAUCAUCAUGCCCCUUAUGACCUGGGCUACACACGUAAUACAAUGGCGUAACAAAGGGAAGCGAGCCUGCGAGGGUGAGCAAAUCCCAAAAAUAACGUCUCAGUUCGGACUGUAGUCUGCAACCCGACUACACGAAGCUGGAAUCGCUAGUAAUCGCGAAUCAGAAUGUCGCGGUGAAUACGUUCCCG
rnacentral:rRNA from 1 species